GCGACGAGAGCGGGAGGAGAGAGCGAGCGAGGAGAGAGAGCGAGGAGAGUGAGAGAGGGAGAGUGAGCGAGGAGAGAGAGGGAGGAGAGAGAGAGAGCAAGGAGAGAGCGAGGGAGGAGAGAGCGAGUGAGGUAGAGAGAGAGCGAGGAGAGAGCGAGGAGAGAGCGAGGGAGAGAGAGGAAGAGAGAGAGGAGAGAGCGAGCCAACGAGGAGAGAGAGCGAGCCAACGAGGAGAGAGAGCGAGCGAGGAGAGAGCGAGCCAACGAGGAGAGAGAGAGAGCGGAGAGAGCGAGGCGAGAGCGAGGCGAGAGCGAGGAGAGAGCGAGGAGAGAGCGAGCGAGGAGAGAGGGAGGGGAGAGAGAGGGAGGAGAGAGCGAGCGAGGAGAGAGCGAGCGAGAGAGAGGAAAGAGAGGAGAGAGCGAGCCAACGAGGAGAGAGAGCGAGAGAGAGCGAGCCAACGAGGAGAGAGAGCGAGCCAACGAGGAGAGAGAGCGAGCGAGGAGAGCGGAGAGAGCGAGGAGAGCGGAGAGAGCGAGGAGAGAGAGAGAGCGAGGAGAGCGAGGAGAGAGCGAGCGAGGAGAGAGCGAGCGAGGAGAGAGGGAGGGGAGAGAGAGGGAGGAGGGAGAGAGCGAGCCAACGAGGAGAGAGAGCGAGCCAACGAGGAGAGAGAGCGAGCCAACGAGGAGAGAGCGAGCCAACGAGGAGAGAGCGAGCGAGGAGAGAGCGAGCGAGGAGAGAACAAGCGAGGAGAGAGCGAGCGAGGAGAGAGAGGGAGAGUGAGCGAGGGAGAGUGAGCGAGGAGAGAGGGGGAGGGGAGAGAGAGGGAGGAGAGAGAGCGAGCGAGGAGAGAGAGCGAGGAGAGAGAGAGCGAGGAGAGAGAGCGAGCGAGGAGAGAGAGCGAGCAGGGAGAGAGCGAGCAGGGAGAGAGCGAGAAAAGAGAGAGCGAGGAGAGAGAGAGCGGGGAGAGAGAGAGCGAGGAGAGAGCGAGCGAGGAGAGAGAGCGAGCAGGGAGAGAGCGAGGAGGGAGAGCGCGAGUGAGGAAAGUGGCUAAGUUGUGAUUCCCUCCCCUUCUCCUGGUUGCAGGGGCGGCAAUCCCGGGGGGGACGGGGGACACACGACCCCCCCAUCCUGGGAAAAAUAUGAUAUCACUGAAACAUAACUAUGUAAUUUAAAUAAUAUUAAUAAUACGCAAUGAAAGCAAUUGUGCUGAUUAUAGACACUUAAUAGCGCGUUUUUAAGUUUCAAAAGAUUGCGAUCCCCCCAUCCUUUGCCUCACAAUGGUUUGAUCCACUGCCAGUUCCUUAGUUGGCAAGGUAACAGAGGGGUCGUAUCUACUGUCUGAAAGGCACUCAAUGAACG
rnacentral:lncRNA from 1 species